rnacentral:rRNA from 1 species
CACGUAGGGCGCAAGCGUUGUCCGGAAUUAUUGGGCGUAAAGAGCUCGUAGGUGGCCUGUUGCGUCCGCUGUGAAAACUCAGGGCUUAACCCUGAGCCGGCAGUGGAUACGGGCAGGCUAGAGGUAGGUAGGGGAGAAUGGAAUUCCUGGUGUAGCGGUGAAAUGCGCAGAUAUCAGGAGGAACACCAAUAGCGAAGGCAGCUCGCUGGGACGGUAUUGACGCUAAGGCGCGAAAGCGUGGGGAGCAAACAGG